rnacentral:ncRNA from 1 species
CAAAGGUUUGGUCCCGACCUUGCCAUUAAUUAUAGCUAAACUUACACAUGCAAGUAUCCGCACCCCCGUGAAAACGCCCUUAUAUGCCUAGUAGAAAUUAAGGAGCCGGUAUCAGGCACUAAAAAUAUUAAGCCCAAAACACCUCGCUCAGCCACACCCACAAGGGUCUUCAGCAGUGAUAAAUAUUGAAUAUGAGCGCUAAGCUCGACUCAGCUAUAGCCACUAAGAGCCGGUAAAUCUCGUGCCAGCCACCGCGGUUACACGAAAGACUCAAAUUAAUGACCACCGGCGUAAAGCGUGGUUAAACUACAUUCUGUAUACUAGAGUAAAACACUAGCCAAGCCGUCGUACGCUAUCGCUAGCUAGAAAAACUUCUACGAAAGUGACUCUAACUUUUAGAAUAAACUUGAAUCCACGACCGCUGAGACACAAACUGGGAUUAGAUACCCCACUAUGCUCAGCCUUAAACUUUGACACCUACAUUCACACUCCGCCAGGGAACUACAAGCUACAGCUUAAAACCCAAAGGACUUGGCGGUGCCCCAAACCCACCUAGAGGAGCCUGUUCUAUAAUCGAUAACCCCCGCUAAACCUCACCACUUAUUGCCAAUACCGCCUAUAUACCACCGUCGCCAGCCCACCCUGUGAGGGAUAUAAGUAGGCGCAAUGAUCAUCACCAAAACGUCAGGUCAAGGUGUAGCGUAUGAAGUGGGAAGAAAUGGGCUACAUUUUCUUACCCAAGAACAUACGAAAGAUAUUAUGAAAUACAAUCAGAAGGCGGAUUUAGUAGUAAAAAGGAACAAAAGAGUCCUUUUUAACACGGCCCUGGAGCGCGCACACACCGCCCGUCACCCUCUUCAACUCUGCGAACACAAUAAAUAAUUUAAAUAGCCCUAAAAGAAGAGGCAAGUCGUAACAUGGUAAGCACACUGGAAAGUGUGCUUGGAAAAU